UACCCUUAACAUUUUCUCUUUCAUUUUUCCAAUAUGCAAAAGGUGAACGCGCUCUGUCUUCUUCGUUCUCUCUGAAAACCCUAGCGCCGCCGUCGAACAUCCUUCUGCCUCUCCCUCCGUCACCUCACCUCCAAUCGAAGAUAGGAGGUCAUUUUUGUGCUCAUCAUCACGUGACCUUUAACUGGAACCAGUUGGAUUUUUGUAUUAGACAAUGUCACUUCCAGCCACCCUCUCACUACCUCCGGCCGCCGCGACUCUAGACGAUGAACGAGAGCCUUUUCUGCUCCGUUCAUAUUUCAGCAAAUAGCAAGAAAAGUUAUGCAACCUGUUUUCACUAGCUAAGCCCUCCACCUCUUGCUUCUGAGGUUAGUGAAAAAUCUUUGUGAUGUUCCCAAAGAGAAAACUAUGUUAAUGGAGAAAAGCUCUAAUGGUUCAAUUGGUUCUCUAGGAGAGAAAGCUGUAGUGUUUUGUUUUCUCAGUGGACGGGAUGCUAGAUUUACUUGAAAAGUGUCUUAAUUCAGUAUAGAAAACUUGAUGGAACAAUGUUUUGGUAAGCUUGAUUUAUUGUCUUUCUCGUCUUUAAUUUUACCUCAUUUAUGAGUCUGUUUUACAUUGUAAUUGGUUAGGUGUAUUGCAAUUCUUAAGCUUUUUUGUAUUGUGUGUGAAGGAGUCAGCAUCACGAAGUUGGAUGCUAUAAUGAAUUUAAUGAAAUCACACUAUGAUGUUGUGGUGUUGAACAGGAAUAGGUGGAUUUGAUAAAGAUGCAGCUACAGAAAGUUAUAAGGGAGGAAAGGACCACAUAACUGGUAUUGUUUAAAGACAGCACAUAAGUCACCCUCUGUUUGACCAAACCCUCCUUUAUUUUAAUUCAUCCAGUGUUAACUGCCGGGUCUUAGUAAUUUUAAUGUUCUGAUACAAGUUGUGUGGUGCAGUGUUCGACGUCACUGAUCCUGAAAUGUUCUAUACUAAGAAGGUAAUGUUGAAUAUUUACCAUUUGACAUACAAAAUUGAAACUUACUAUAUUUAUAUUUAUCUGCUUGCCGCGAUUCAAGUUCUUGUGUUACAAUUGCGACAGAUAGCAACUCGGUGGUAUAGGGCACCUGAAGUUUUGUUUCAUAACAGUCAAUAUUCAACUCCAAUUGAUAUUUGGACCGUGGGCUCAUCAUAUUGGGGAUGGGGGAGAGUCUUGUUUUUGGGGUGACUGUUGAGUGGGUGGAGUCGAGCUUAAAAUGAGUUCAAGCUUUGAUGAAAAUUAAGAACUCUUUGAUGGAUCCUUACCAAAUCUUCAAACUGUAGGUAAAACUUGUAGGUGUUCCGGAAAUGAACUAUACAUCUGAUGAUCAGCCGAACCCCCGUGGUGAAAUUUGUAUUAGGGGUCCCAUUAUUUUUCAAGGAUAUUACAAAGAUGAAGUUCAAACGUAACCACUUCGCCUGUUCUAUGGUUCUUGUUAAUUUGAGUUACCAUGGCGUAUUUACAGUGUUCCUGAUUUUUGUUUAUUUGAAAAGCUAACUAAAUUGUUGAAGAUGUAUGGUGAUCGGGUGGAAAGUGGAGCGAGGAGGAGGUCUGUCAAGGAACGUCAUGAUGGGAGCAUCAGUGUAUCUACUUGGCAGCAACGCCAAGUCACCGGCAAGAGGUUUGCACUUUGGAGUUUUUAUUCGUUCAUGCUGUUAGUAUAAUGAUUAUACUUCGUUUAGUUGUUUAAUAUUUGCAAUGUAAUGUUAGAUUUUUGUUCAGUUUUAGUAAUGUCGGUGAUAGAUUAAAACACUUAGUAUAUGAGAGCUCAAGAAGAGAACUACCUUGUAUAUAGUUUGUAAAUGCUGAAGAGAAUGUUUCUGUAUUAUUAAAUCUUGGCUGUUGAUUGAACCCUUUACUGAGAACACUAUGUCCUUAUUAUCAUUAUUUAUUAUUAUUUUUUUAACUUUCUCAUUCAAUCCCAAAGGUAAACAUUGUUAUGAAAUGAAAUUAGCCUUCCACUUGGUUUCAGAUCCUAUCUUAUAUCCCCUUCCCCCAUCUCUAUAUUUUCUUAAAGUUUAGAACUUUGUAUUGUAGUUAUCAUAUAGAUUAAAAUCAGUUGAUUGUUGU